rnacentral:rRNA from 1 species
AUACAGAGGGUGCGAGCGUUAAUCGGAAUUACUGGGCGUAAAGCGCGCGUAGGCGGCUUGGUCAGUCGGAUGUGAAAGCCCCGGGCUCAACCUGGGAAUGGCAUUCGAUACUGCAAGGCUAGAGUAUGGGAGAGGGAAGUGGAAUUUCCGGUGUAGCGGUGAAAUGCGUAGAUAUCGGAAAGAACACCAGUGGCGAAGGCGACUUCCUGGCCCAAUACUGACGCUGAGGUGCGAAAGCGUGGGGAGCGAACAGGAUUAGAUACCCUAGUAGUCC